GUAUCGAGUGAUGAAAGAGCUGACGGCGACAUUUUAAUGUAUGAUUGGCUUGGACCAUUGGAAUGAAGUCAUUUCAUGGUGCCACCACUUGGGAUGGUAUUAGCUGCAAAUAUAGACUUGUACUCAGCACUUAUUGCCUUUAAGAAGUAUGAGAUCCAUUUUGUGCUAACACCUACCGUGACACAGAAUCUUGGUUUAUGCAGUCUCAUAGGAGUAACCUGUCUAAAGCAUUUAGCAAUGGGAUUGGAACCUGCGACGUGUGACUCAUCUGAAGACUGAAUUUUGAUACCAAGCAUGACCAUGAUUUGCCAGAAGAUCAUCUGUUUGGAUGUGACAUGGAAUAAACAGCAUAGUGAAAAUAAGUCAAGUUUUGGUUUGUGAAGACAAUUUUUAAACACACUGUGUAUCAUUUUUAAAUUUUGAUUUGACAACAUAAAUCCACAAAUAUGAACAUAUCAAUUGCUCUCAGUUUUUCAAGUGAAAUAGUUUUUGUAACAGAAAUACAUGUACCAGUAAUUACAUUGGAAUAAAUGUUAUUUUUAAAUAUAAUAAUAUUUUGUUUGUGUAGCAUGUUGACCUCUUUAUUAAGGUCUUCCCUUUCAAAGUUUAGACUUACUUAUUCUAAUGAUUAAGAUAGAUCCUCUGUCUUCAGCAGGAAUAGAAGAUCUUGUAAUACAUGUAUGUGUAUUUUUUACAGUAUAAUGUAAAAAAAAUUGUUAUUUUGGCACAUACAACUAAUUAAAGGCAUAAACAUGUGUAUGAUUCCAAGGAAUUCAGUACAUAGGGCAUGUACAUGUAGUUUUCUAAAACAAGAUUGAAGAGAUGUCCAGUCGCAUUUCAAUGUCAACUGCAAAACUGUGCCUGUUGCAUAUUUAUUAGCCCAUCUGAGCUAAAGGAACCAGUAAAUUUUUUAAAAACAUAAUUUUAUCCAUUAUCAUCAUUGUCUAAAAUUUCACAAUAUCAUUUUCCAGAACCAAAGUGAAACUUGGCACAGAGCAUCCUUAGUGUAGGGGAUUCAAAUUGUUCUUAUGCAGGGCAAUACCUUCAAAGAGAUUUGUUUCUUUAAUGCUGUAAAUGUAUUAUAUUUAGCUUGUACAAUAUUUGGUGGAAAUUGACUUUUGAAUAAGUUAGCGUAGAUAUUCUUAUUUAUGUUUAUGUACAAGACUUUUAGCUUUGUACUUGAUUUAGUGAUUGCUGCAUUCCGCCAAAGCCGCUAAAAAAUAAUACACAGCCAUAUGUAAUAUGUUUACAAUAUACCUUUCAGAGAAUUUUACACUCCUAUUGAGGUACCACCAGUUGCUAGUGGAAAGCUGCAAAUUCGAAACAUACACAACACAUUUCUGUGCGUUUAUUAUAAAAGUAUUGUUCUACUUACUGAUUGCAACUAAUGAAGAUUGUUCAUCAUUAUUGUAAAUACAUUUGGAUUUUUUGAAUUAUUAUAUAAUUUGUUUAUUUUAUUUACCUAGUUAUAUUGUAUAUUAAAUGAUUUUAAAGCCAUUUUUAAGAUGGUAAUGUAGCAAAACAAUUAUGUUUCUGUAGUAUGACACGUUUCACAAACAUGAUAUAUCCGAUAUCAAAAGUCAUAAUAUUGGAAGUUAAACUGUUGUGGAUACGAUUUCAAGAAUGCUGUUAGAGAGAGUACCCUUUAGACCUCAUGCUCACACCAAAUUAAAGAAUUCAAGUAAGGGUUUCUGAGACAAAUCGAAAAAGAGAAUGUUAGCAAAGUUGACAAUCUAGACAGAAACAUUUAAUCUUUUGCUUAUCGCUAGGAAGGAAGACCCACUCGUUGCUUUGCAACGAGCUUUGCUCUAGUU